rnacentral:rRNA from 1 species
CGCCAGACUCCUACGGGAGGCAGCAGUGGGGGAUAUUGCACAAUGGGGGGAACCCUGAUGCAGCGACGCCGCGUGGGUGAAGGAGUGCUUCGGCAUGUAAAGCCCUAUCGGCAGGGAAGAAGCAAGACGGUACCUGACUAAGAAGCCCCGGCUAACUCCGUGCCAGCAGCCGCGGUAAUACGGAGGAUGCGAGCGUUAUCCGGAUUUAUUGGGUUUAAAGGGUGCGUAGGCGGUCCGGAAAGUCAGCGGAAAAAGCCCGGGCCACACCCCCGGCGAGCCGUUGAAACUGUCGGACUAGAGACGGCGAGAAGUACGCGGAAUGCGCGGUGUAGCGGUGAAAUGCAUAGAUAUCGCGCAGAACUCCGAUUGCGAAGGCAGCGUACCGGCGCCGGACUGACGCUGAGGCACGAAAGCGUGGGUAUCGAACAGGAUUAGAUACCCUAGUA